UUUGACUCUUCGUUUUAUUUAAAAUUUUUUGUGAUUACUAUUUUUGUUGUUACUAAAUGAUAAAAUAUAAAUAGUACUUUAUACGUGACUAAUUUUUUAAAAUUUCUAUACAAAAUUUUUAAAUAAGAUGAAUAGUCAAA
rnacentral:pre_miRNA from 1 species